ensembl:lncRNA
GUUUGAUUAAAGCAAGCACGUUUAUUUAUACAUAGCACAAUUCAUACAUAGAAGCAAUUCAAUGUGCUUUACAGUGAAAAUAAAAAUACAAAAUGCAAUGAAAUUAAAACAGUCAGAUUGUUACAAUUCUCCAGCUCAGCUGUCUCCAGGGGGACUGUACAUGAACUUCAACACCCCGGUAUCUCAAUCCUCGCAUUCCAAUGCUAGGAUGAACCCGUCAGUCCCUUUGUGAGAUAAUCAUUGCAUCAAUGUGCAAGCAGUUUUAUUAGUCAGCUUUCAUUCACAGUGAGUGUCAUCAUGAACAAGAGGAAGGGUGGCAGUGACAUUCAUCAGUUUUUUGGGCAGCCUCAGAAAAGAAAAGUUGAGAGCAGUGAGAAAAUGACAACCAGAUCAGAUGAUAGAAGUAUGCAGUAGCACAAAAGGCGAUAAUUAUAUAAAUAUUUAUUUAUAUAAUAAUCAUUGCCAUUUAAAUUAGAAAUGGUUAGUAACCCAUUCCUGAACAUCAUGGCAAGAAACUUGUUUACUGAUAUUUCUUUCAUGUUCACUCGGGUGUGUUCAGAGUAAAGAGAGAGAGAGAGAGGGUAUGAGGAUGCCAACAGGGCAGGGAGAGCAGGUGACAUGGUGGUGAGUGAAGAAAGGAGCAAAUAUUGAUGACUGAUCUGAUAUUGCCAUGUUGGUGUUGUUUCCGACAACAUCAUAAUUAAUGUUGGCACAGGUACCACUAAGGUUAGGUUUAGGCACAGGUGUCCCUGAGGUUAGGGUUAGGUCAAAGGGUAGGGGGCAGGGGAAUAUUCUGUCUUUGGACUGGGGUAACCAAUUAACUACAGUUGCAAUGAUGGUCCUGGAGAAAAUUCAUUAUGAUGUUUUAGGAACAAUACCAACACAGUGAUAUCAGAUUGUGUAAAUAGUGAUGGUUAAGUGUCUUAAAAAUAUUUUAAAUAUUUUUGAUUGUUUUUCUUGGGGGACCUCCAGACACCUGGCUGAUUUGGUACCCCCCAAUGCAUACAGAGAUUUCUCUGGAUUCUCUGAAUCUUUUAAUGAUAAUAAGCACUGUAGAUUAUGAGAUCCCCAAAGUCUUUGCAAUUGCAUGUUGAGAGACGUUGCACUAUUGCACUAUUUGCCCUGAGCAGUAUUUCACAGAGUGGGGAACCCCUCCCCAUGUUUACCUCCUCAUCCUCUCUUGGGUGCUCUUUUUAUACCCGAUGAUGUUACUCACCUCUUGCCAAUUAACCUCAUUAGUUGUGAGAUGUUCCACCAGGUCUUUUCCUGUCUUUUGUUGCCCCUAUUACAGCUUUUUUUAAAUGUGUUGCUGGCAUCAAAUUCAAAGUGGGCAUAUAUUUUUCAAUAAACAAUAACGUUUCUCAGUUUCAACAUUUGAUAUGUUGUUUCUGUACUAUUGUCUGUGGAAUAUAGGGUUUAAAUGAUUUGUACAUCAUUGCAUUCAGUUUUUCUUUACAUUUUACACAGCGUCCCAACUUUUUUGGAAACAGGGUUGUAUUAACCAUGUUUUGAAGCUAACAGCGAUCAUAUUUUUACUUCUCAUGGGACACGAUUGCUGCUCUUGAGGAAUUUCUAG